UACAGAGGCCUCAAGCGUUAGGCGGAAUCACUGGGCUUAAAGCGCGUGUAGGCGGACCGUUAAGUACCUUGUGAAAUCCCACGGCUCAACCGUGGAACUGCUGGGUAUACUGGUUGUCUUGAGCCAGCUAGGGGCGAGCGGAACAGACGGUGGAGCGGUGAAAUGCGUAGAUAUCGUCUGGAACGCCGAAGGUGAAAACAGCUCGCUGGGGCUGCGCUGACGCUGAGAACACGAAAGCCAGGGGAGCGAACGGG
rnacentral:rRNA from 1 species